CAGGCCUAACACAUGCAAGUCGAACGAGGGCUUCGGCCCUAGUGGCGCACGGGUGAGUAACGCGUGGGAACCUGCCCUGUGGUACGGAAUAACUCCGGGAAACUGGAGCUAAUACCGUAUGUGUCCUGCGGGACAAAAAUUUAUCGCCAUGGGAUGGGCCCGCGUAGGAUUAGCUUGUUGGUGGGGUAACGGUCUACCAAGGCAACGAUCCAUAACUGGUCUGAGAGGAUGAUCAGCCGCACUGGGACUGAGACACGGCCCAUACUCCUACAGGAGGCAGCAGUGGGGAAUAUUGGACAAUGGGCGCAAGCCUGAUCCAUCAAUGCCGCGUGAGUGAUGAAGGCCUUCGGGUUGUAAAGCUCUUUCGCACGCGACGAUGAUGACGGUAGCGUGAGAAGAAGCCCCGGCUAACUUCGUGCCAGCAGCCGGGGUAA
rnacentral:rRNA from 1 species